GCCUACAGCCGUACUAUGCUGAACAUGCCUGAUCUCUGAAGCUAAGCAGGGUCAGGCCUGGUUAGCUCUUGGAUGGGAAGCUGACUGGGGAAGUCUGGGUGAUGUAGGCU
rnacentral:rRNA from 1 species